rnacentral:rRNA from 1 species
GACAGAGGGUGCAAACGUUGUUCGGAAUUACUGGGCGUAAAGCGCGUGUAGGCUGCUUGGAAAGUCGGAUGUGAAAGCCCUGGGCUCAACCUAGGAAGUGCAUUCGAAACUUCCAAGCUGGAGUGCUGGAGAGGAAGGCGGAAUUCUCGGUGUAGAGGUGAAAUUCGUAGAUAUCGAGAGGAACACCGGCGGCGAAGGCGGCCUUCUGGACAGUGACUGACGCUGAGACGCGAAAGCGUGGGGAGCAAACAGG